UACGGGGGGGGCAAGCGUUGUUCGGAAUCAUUGGGCGUAAAGGGUGCGUAGGCGGUGCGGUAAGUCUGGUGUGAAAUCCCCGAGCUUAACUCGGGUCCCGCGCCAGAGACUGCCGUGCUCGAGUGUGGGAGAGGAAAGUGGAAUUCCCGGUGUAGCGGUGAAAUGCGUAGAUAUCAGGAGGAACACCGAUGGCGAAGGCAGGUCUCUGGGCCAUUACUGACACUGAGAAGCGAAAGCAUGGGGAGCGAACAGG
rnacentral:rRNA from 1 species